rnacentral:rRNA from 1 species
CGGAGGAGCAUGUGGUUUAAUUCGAUGAUACGCGAGGAACCUUACCCGGGCUUGAAAGUUAGUGAAUUAUCUAGAGAUAAAAUACACGACUAGGUGUGACGAGCGCAACCCCUAUGUUUAGUUGCCAGCGGGACGUCAAGUAUCAUGGCCCUUACGUCCGGGCUACAUACAUGGAUGGUACAAGGGCAGCAAGCUGGCAACAGCAAGCAUCUCAAAAAGCCAUUCACAGUUCGGAUAGAGGUGCAACUCGACCUCUUGAAGUUGGAUUCGCUAGUAAUCGGUAUCAGCAAUGACGCGGUGAAUACGUUCCCGGGCCUUGUACACACCGCCGUCAAGCCGUGGAAGUUGGGGGUACCUAAAGUAUGUAACCGCAAGGAGCGUCCUAGGUAA